AUAUAUAUAUAUAUAUAUAUUAAUUAAUUAUUAUUAUUAUUUUUAUAUAUAUAGGAAGAUGGGACGGACUAUAUAGAUGUGUAGGUCUAUGCGUAUGCGUAAUAAUGUGCAUCUCAGUUUAUCUUUGAAUUUCGUUUGUUAUUGAAAAUAUACCCAAACAAAUUAUAUAAAUAAAUAAAUAAAAAUAAUUUGAAAAACCCACAAUAAAAAAAAAAAAACCCAAAAGAAAACCAAAAAAUAAAUAAAUAAAAAUACAGUGUAUAUGAAUGGCACAUCGAUUGUUUUCGGAAACACAACUAUUACGUCAACAAUACGAUGACGUCAACUUUCAAUAUGAUCAUGGGCGCCAAAUUGAGAAAUAUGUGAACGUUAUCGAUCUUUGUCGUCUAUGAGCAUAUUUAACUUGUACAGUGAAACAUAUUAAAUUGCUUGGUAAUAUUUAUAAUUAAUAACAUGUAAGCUGUUAUUUCAAGAAUGUUCUACAGUAUGGAUAUCACCCAGACAGAAUUAUUGAGAGGGGGAGCUAGGGCCCCCAGCCACCUGCUCCGACGUGUCUGAUAUGCCAAUCAAAAGACAGAAUUUCACAGAGAAGCCAACACGAAGCCUUACACAACCAAUCCACGCUAGAUGAGAAAUCUGUCAUACUUGACACACCACACGAUUAUAUAUAUACACCUCUGUGUGACCCCGUCACAGACCAGCCAACACUUUUCUCAGAUUUUUUGUUUAGCUAUUAAGCUUCCCAUGACACAAACAAAAAUGGCUGACAUGGUGUUUCAUGUUGUGUGGUGUUGACAAUACAUUUUCAAAAUUUUGUUUUUAAAACAAAAAAAGUUGUUUGCUUUAUCCACGUGGUGAUCUCUCUUCCACAUCUUCCUUGGCAACUGUUCCAAUAAAGCUGUUUCCGGUUUCUUUUUUUGUUUUCAUUUUCGUCAAUGACGUCACUUUUCAAUUACGUCAUUGUAAACAUUUGGUAAAUCCAUACCACUUCUUGAUCGAAUUUAAAAAACGUUUAUUUCUUCUUCUUUUUAUUCGUUUGGACCAUACGAUAAAUGUCCUUGGUGUUUUAAAAAAUAAAAAUCUGGAUUAAAAAAAAAAUCGAACGAAGAUCAGAUGAACCUGUCUCGGAUGUAUAUUUACGCAUCUCGGCCGAUUCGUAAAACACACGGUUGGUUAAGGGUAAAAAUUGCGACUUGUGAUAUUUCCAGACGGAGGCUACAAGUGAAACCGAGGUUGAGGUACGACAUUUUGUUUUUUGUUGUUGCG